rnacentral:rRNA from 1 species
CCCUUAGAUGUUCUGGGCCGCACGCGCGCUACACUGAUGCAUUCAACGAGUCUAAAACCUGCUCUGAUAGGGGUGGGUAAUCUUUUGAAUGUGCAUCGUGAUUGGGAUAGAUGAUUGCAAUUUUUCAUCUUCAACGAGGAAUGCCUAGUAAACGCAAGUCAUCAGCUUGCAUUGAUUACGUCCCUGCCCUUUGUACACACCGCCCGUCGCUCCUACCGAUUGAAUGACCCGAUGAAUAUCAUGGAUUGAGGAUGCAAGCAGGUUCGCCUGUCUUCAUCUUCGAGAAGUGAAGUAAAUCUUAUCAUUUAGAGGAAGGAGAAGUCGUAACA